rnacentral:misc_RNA from 1 species
UUGAAUUUUAAUGAAGAGUUUGGUUGUAGCUGGCCCAUUCAUUUGGGCAAUGGGCACACCUUCCUCUUUCAUCCCACACACACCUGUGAACCUGUGAGACAGAGAUGGGGAAUUUACUUGCUGCUUUUUGGAAUACAAAGGCAAUAGGUUAUUGGACCCCCCCUCUGUCUACUCAAUUAAUAUAAACUCAAUUUAUUUUAAGAACGAAUGUAAUGGAUGUAACACAUCUCAUACU